rnacentral:rRNA from 1 species
AUGAAACCUGGUGAUUCAUUGAUUAUGUUUUCUAGUCUGCGGACUCUACAUAUAGAAUUUGCUAAUGUGGUUUCAUUGGUUGAAUCGUUGCAUCAACUCAAGCACCUGAGGUAUUUGAAGCUAGUAAAUACCUAUAUAUCUGUACUUCCAGGGAACAUUGGUAAGAUGAAACUAUUGCAAUUCCUUGACCUUCAUGGAUGUGAAAAUUUGGUGAAUCUUCCUGGUAGCAUUGUGAAACUUGGCCAGCUGAGGUUACUUGAGCUUCCCAGCAUAAGUGUGAUACCUAGAGGGUUCCACACCCUAACAAAUAUGAGGAAACUAAAUUGGUUUCGAGCCCACAUGGAUGGUGAAUGGUGCAGUUUGGACGAGUUAGAGUCUCUUUCCCAACUCAGGUUCCUUACUUUAUAUGAAUUGGAGAAUGUAUCUGCUGCCUCGUGUGCUGCUAAUGCUAGGCUUGGUGAUAAAAAGCAUCUUAUCAGACUGUCUUUAUUCUGCACCAGCAGACUGGAAAAUGAUGGGUUGAUAAAAGAGAAAGGAUGUAUCCCUGAGGAAGAGCAGCGACGAAUCGAGAAGGUGUUCAAUGAGCUCUCCCCUCCGCCCAGUAUAGAUAAUAUUAUAAUCGGUGGUUAUUUUGGCAAGCAGCUCCCAACUUGGAUGAUGUCUGCGUCCAUGGUGCCCCUCAAUAACUUGACAUAUAUUAUGUUUGUUGACCUGGCUUGCUGCACACAACUUCCCGAUGGGUUGUGUCAGCUCCCGAACCUGCAGUUCUUUAAGGUAGACCGUGCUCCAUGCAUCAGGCGUGUUGGGGCUGAAUUCUUGCAGGUGGCGGCAACUCCAUUUCCGAGGUUAAAUGAGAUGUACUUACUAGGAAUGGUGCAAUGGGAAGAGUGGGAGUGGGAGGAGCAAGUACAAGCCAUGCCUAGGUUGGAGAAGCUUAUGCUCAGGAAAUGCAAACUGAGGCAUAUUCCUACAGGCGUUGCCACCAAUGCAAGGGCUUUGAAGGAAUUAUUCCUACAGGACAUCCAACACCUCAACUACCUUGAUGGCUUUCCUACUGUUGUUGAGCUUACAAUGCUUCGAAUCCCCGACAUGGAGAGGAUCACUAAUCUCCCCAAUCUGCAGAAGCUCACGAUCACCGAUUGCCCAAAGCUGAAGGUUCUUGAAAGUAUGCCUGGACUUGACAGGUUGAUCCUGCAAGAUUAUGUCAUGGAAGAACUCCCAGAAUACAUGCGGGAUAUCAAGCCAAGGCAUUUGCAGCUAUUUUGCAGGAUAUGGCUGCUAUCUUCAUUAGCCGCGGGACAAUCUGGUCCUGAGUGGGAUAAGUUAAGCCAUGUGGAGCAUGUCAAGGCAUAUGCAUGUGAUGGAAACAACCCAAGAAAAUGGUACGUUCUAUACACAAGAAGAGACAACUGCAAGCUGGAUUCUAAUAUUAGCAGCUCUACCGUAUUUGAAGGCGAUACAAUGGCUGCAGAGGAGGAACGACAAGCAGCAGCAGCAGUUGCAUCCGGUCCAGGAGAUGGAAACAAGGAACAAGAAGCAUACCGACUACAAACAGCGAUCUAG